rnacentral:tRNA from 1 species
AGUGGGAUGGCUGAGAUUGAUAGGCGAUAGGCUGUAAAUCUAUUUAGGAGCUUCUAGGCAUUGCUCUUCCACUA